ensembl:lncRNA
UGUGUGGGGAGUAGCAGCAGGAGCGUGGUUGGUGGUAGUGUUGGGUAGAGAGGAAGACGGGGGGUCCUCUCAGACCCCCCCUGCCUUUUCCCUCUAAGACAAAAUGGCUCCCACCAUCCAUUGCCUCCCACCAUUCAGGACGCACUGGCAGUGCCAUUAUAGGACCAAGCUCUUUCACGCUAUUGCCUUGUUCACCCACCCUUACGUUAGCCUCUUCCUGUGAGAAGAACAGAAACACUGCUCUGUGGUGUGGGGGUGUGGGUGGGGGAUUUUCCUGUGUGAAACCAAUUUGGUUUGGGUUUUUUUUUUUUUUUUUUUUCUGGGGCACAUAUUCUCUCUCUAGAGGAAGGCAGUGGUGGGAAAGAUUAGACCGUUGAAUGUAUCUCUCUGCGUGUGAUUUACAACAACAUCAUUGUUUUCUCCCCCCCCCCCCCAGGACUCUCCCUGCACAUGACACUUGACCUUUGUUUGUUGUAUUUGCGGUGACAACAAGAGAUGGGACCUGUGUCAUGUCCGCAAGGAGACAAAUUUGGACUUGGUUUUAACCUGUUGCCUUAGCAUAAUUGCAAAAGUAUCAUCUUGGUCUUGUCCUCUGUGUGCUUAAAACAGUGUGCUUGUGUGUCUGUGGGUGGGUGUUUGUUUGUGAGCAUGCGUAUGUACAUAUUUGCUUCAGUGAAAGAAUGUUUACAUAAAACCAAUUAAACCCUGUUGAGAUAAGGUUUGCAGAAGGCUGCAUCACCAGUCCCUUAAGGGAGGUUAAAAACCGGAUACUGCUAGGAACAGGCCAUGUGGGGGUGUGUUAGCCAGGUUUUAGUUUCACUCACCGUAUCCUUAUACCCUUCCCUUACAUUCAUAUCAGACUUGAUAUUUACAGUGGUUAACCUGUCAUAGAUAUCCUGGAAGUUUUCCUAGAAGGGGGGGGAUGGCUAUUUACAUUUCAUGUCAUAUCAGGUGCUGAUUUGUUAUUCUUCCCAUUUUGAUCUCUGUUUCCUUGAUCCCAGCCCUAAGGGCUGCACAGUGCUUUAUGCAAGAUGAGUGUGGUCAUGCUUUGGAUAGUCAAAUGUUGAUUGCGCCCUGACCACUGUCGUGCCCUUGUGAUGUUUCAAGUGCACAUUUCAAUUGCAGUAACUCGAGGCCCGUUUGGACCUGAUAGAUGGGCAUACCCUAAUCGAACCCAGGUAGCUAGUUAUCGUAUAUAUCUGAUAUGAAGCCACAAAGGUGAACUCAUGGGUGACGUCUUGUUUAGCAUAGAGAGUACAGUUCAUUAGUCACUAUGGGGAGUUGUCUUACAUAUUGUAGCCAUGACUGAAUGGAAAGAAAAUCACUAAAUCCUGUUCAGAAAGAGGGGGAAAAUGAAUGGUUUGAGCAUUAAAAAGGAAUAAAGAAGUAAGUCACCCAAGGAUCAGUUUAGGUUAAGAUCAAGGGGCCAUUUCACAAAGCAGGAUGACUUGUUUAUCUGGAUAAGUGGCACCUUUUAGUCUUGGAUAUAGUCACCACGAUUAUCUAGUCAACUGAGAUGGCAGGGACUUUGUGAAAUGGUCUUGGCACUGUGAAGAGCAGCCGGUAGCACAUUCAGCAGUGCUUGUGUAGCAUAGGGCUUUAAGGUGUAGAGGAGACAGGCGUUCAGGGUUAUCCACUUUCUUUGUCUUAACUCUUGUGUGUUCUUCAAACCCCUGCCUCUUCUCAAGCGACCUUUGGCCCUUAAUCUCCUCCAGCUGGACGUGUUAGUUUUUGUUCGUUUGUUUGUUUAUGACAUUUACAUGUUCUGCAUACAAAAGUCUGUGUCUUAGCAGACAGCCCAGACUACUGGGCUGAAACCAAAGAUGGCGGUCUGGCGGGCAGCUUCUCAACUAAUGCUCAAAUUGUUGGACCAUGAAAUGAAACUAUAUAAUGCCUUGGUAGAAGAGAGAUGAGUGUGUGUGAGUGUGUGUGAGGGAGUGCCUCUUGUAUGUGUGUAUAUUUUUACAGUUUAUAGGGGUUUCACAUGCUGCUGUUUACAGUAUGGAAAUUGAGCAGUGGUGGUGGUCCGUUUAUGUCUCUUCAUAAAAGAAACUAGAUCAAAGCUAUUUUAGAGGGAUGUGGCCCUUGCUAUGUACCUAAUAUCCUGUCCUUUCUUCUUGGGCCUGUUUUCCUCCUUUAAAAAAAAAAGAAAAGAAAAAGAAUGUGGACAUUUUGUCAAAGGUGAAUUGUAUCAUAUUUGUAUAAAAAAAGUUCAUAGAUUGUUGCAGGUGAUGCCCUGCAGGUUUACCUCUGGUGGCAUGACUAUGCUUUGCUCAUUGGCCCGAAGGAUGAGCGGGAAACUGGAACUAUGGCCUAAGAAGGUCGGGAGUGGAGAUCAUGUGACCUGAGGUAAAUCAACACAUGGCUCAGAGGACUGAUUUCAGAUUUGUUGGGUGCUGAGGUGUUCUAGCUUCACCAAUACUUUGCAUACAGAAAGACUGCUACAACAGGGAACAGUGCUAAAAAUGUAUGCAACUUCUCAUUUUUUGUUUAUUUUUUGUCUUCUUGUCAAAGUCUGCACUGUCCAGAGUUGCCUUAUAAUAAUGAUUAAUAAAACAAAUAAUCAACCAGUGCCUUGUUUAUUAGUGUGAUGUGUGGAAAGCCCUUUUGAGUGGUUUGGUCUAUGAGGUAAAAUUGCACAAAAUUUUUUGUUUGUUUUUUGUAUUUCAA